rnacentral:rRNA from 1 species
GUCCGCAACGAGCGCAACCCUUACUGUUAGUUGCCAGCACAUAGUGGUGGGGACUCUAACAGGACUGCCUACGCAAGUAGAGAGGAAGGUGGGGACGACGUCAAGUCAUCAUGGCCCUUACGCCCAGGGCUACACACGUGCUACAAUGGGGGGUACAGAGGGUAGCUACCUGGUAACAGGAUGCCAACCUCAAAAAGCCUCUCUCAGUUCGGAUUGAGGUCUGCAACUCGACCUCAUGAAGUCGGAAUCGCUAGUAAUCGCAUAUCAGCAAUGAUGCGGUGAAUACGUUCCCGGACCUUGUACACACCGCCCGUCAAGCCAU